rnacentral:rRNA from 2 species
UACGGAGGGUGCAAGCAUUAAUCGGAUUUAUUGGGCGUAAAGGGCGCGUAGGCGGAAAUAUAAGUCAGGUGUGAAAUCCCGGGGCUCAACCCCGGAACGGCAUUUGAAACUAUAUUCCUUGAGGGUAGGCGGAGAAAACGGAAUUCCACAUGUAGCGGUGAAAUGCGUAGAUAUGUGGCAGAACAUCGGUGGCGAAGGCGGUUUUCUAGCUUAUUCCUGACGCUGAGGCGCGAAAGUAAGGGGAUCAAACAGG